CUUUAUCUGCUCGGCGGCCUCGUCUCAUGUCCACACAAUUCAUUCCUCUUUCUUCUUAUCUUUCAUAUCUUAUAUAUUUUAAUACCGUACUACUAAUCUUUCAUAUUUCACAUUCUGUCAGUCUAAUAUUCUACGCAUCAACAAUCCAUGCAAUCGCAUCCUAUAGCUUAAUACUUCUCUUCUUCUUUUUUUCUUUCUAUAAUCUUUUGUCAACUGAGAGAAUGAUUUUCAGAUGCUGUAGAUUUUUCUCCUUUAUUUGUUUCAUUAUGAAAAAAAGAAAACUAUUUUCUCAAAGUUGAUUUGCUAUGAAACUACUGAUUGUUUUUUUUAGUUUGCAAAUGGUAAGAGUGAUGUGCAGAUCGGCUCCAUAUCAGAGUCAACAGCAGGUGCCAGUCCAUGGCCGAUCUGACUGCCGCUUGGAGCCAAUAUUUAGUUAAAGGGGUAAAGACCCGUGAAACUCACAGUUGUUUCAUGACACAAUAACCCCUUCACAUUUGUUUAUUGCCUUUUAAAUUCAUGGUCUAGCAUUUGAUGGUGUUGUUGAAGUGGGGCAUAGAGUCAGACACGGGUGUUUGUUUGUUUACAAUAGCAAUCCACCUUUUGCAUUGUGCCUAAACCAAAGCUACUUACACGAUUGAAGGAGCCUUUGCCUUCUCCAUGCUUUCCUUCAAAUUUAAAGCAGCUAAAUUUUUAUUUUAUAUUUUAAUGAUUUUAACCAUGUAUUACUUCUGUUGUGAAAAAUAAUUUGAGCCUAAUGCUGCCAUGCAUGGUGGAUUGGUUGAUGGACAUUGCAAGGAAAGUAUUUGGAAUAUCAUCGUUUAUAAUAUUGUUAUCUACAGCUUUAGAAAUCACUCCUCCCUUGUUUAAUGUACAGAUACACACAUAUAAAAGGAACGGAUGAUUUCUAAAGCUUUAGAUUGCUUUAUCAUGACGAGGAAGCAAGGCACCGAGUUCAAUAUUGUCAUAUUGCAAGGAUGUUGUUGGCAAUAUUGUUAUCUACGGCUUCAGAAACCAUCCCUUUCUUGCUUAAUUUAUGGAAUCUGUAAUAUACAGAUUGACACACCUAGUAAUGAAGGGAUGAUUUCUGAAACUUUAGUAACUUUAUCAAGAAUGUUGUUGCAAGGCAGGUGUGGUCGUGGGUGAGAAAUCAUCAUCCCCUUUUGAUUUGGUUUAGCAUUGUUGUGUUCGCUAAUUGAAGAUUGCAGACUCAUUUUCUCCUUAGCUUAUUCGUGAAAUUUUGGCUUAUAUCAUGUAAUACAAAUCACAAAGUGUAUCUUGAUGUGUUUUUACCAAUUGUAUACAUUUAAUGUAGGAUUUUGUAAGCAUUUAAAUUUGGUUUCAAUAUUGAAUUUGGUAUUUAAUUUUUUCUUCUCAA